rnacentral:sRNA from 1 species
UAUUGUGAUUAUUUUACCUAAGACAGUAGGAGUUAAUUAUAACUUAAAAAUCAAUCCUACCGAGGCUAAAAUUGACUUGAACGUGAUGAUUAAUUGAUCUUUCAAGCACUUUUUGCCGUGGGUAGAAAGUGCUUUUUUUAUUGC